rnacentral:rRNA from 1 species
CGCGUAGGCGGGGUCGUGGGUCGGCCGUGAAAUCCACCGGCUCAACCGGUGAACUGCGGUCGAAACUACGACUCUUGAGCUCGGUAGAGGAAGGCGGAAUUCCUGGUGUAGCGGUGGAAUGCGUAGAUAUCAGGAGGAACACCGGUAGCGAAGGCGGCCUUCUGGGCCGUAGCUGACGCUGAGGCGCGAAAGCCGGGGGAGCGAACAGGAUUAGAUACCCUGGUAGUCC